UACGUAGGGUGCGAGCGUUAAUCGGAAUUACUGGGCGUAAAGCGUGCGCAGGCGGUUUUAUAAGACAGGUGUGAAAUCCCCGGGCUCAACCUGGGAAUGGCAUUUGUGACUGUAAGACUAGAGUACGGUAGAGGGGGAUGGAAUUCCGCGUGUAGCAGUGAAAUGCGUAGAUAUGUGGAGGAAUACCGAUGGCGAAGGCAGCCCCCUGGGUCGAUACUGACGCUCAUGCACGAAAGCAUGGGGAGCGAACAGG
rnacentral:rRNA from 1 species